AUUGAACGCUGGCGGGAAGCCUAACACAUGCAAGUCGAACGAGUGGCGGACGGGUGAGUAAUGUCUGGGAAACUGCCCGAUGGCGGGGGAUAACUACUGGAAACGGUAGCUAAUACCGCAUACCAUCGGAUGUGCCCAUAUGGGAUUAGCUAGUUGGUGGGGUAAAGGCUCACCUAGGCGACGAUCCCUAGCUGGUCUGAGAGGAUGACCAGCCACACUGGAACUGAGACACGGUCCAGACUCCUACGGGAGGCAGCAGUGGGGAAUAUUGGACAAUGGGCGAAAGCCUGAUGCAGCCAUGCCGCGUGUAUGAUGAAGGCCUUCGGGUUGUAAAGUACUUUCAGCGGGGAGGCGGUACCCGCAGAAGAAGCACCGGCUAACUACGUGCCAGCAGCCGCGGUAAUUC
rnacentral:rRNA from 1 species